rnacentral:rRNA from 1 species
GAUGAACGCUGGCGGCAUGCCUUACACAUGCAAGUCGAACGGUAACGGGCCUUCGGGUGCCGACGAGUGGCGAACGGGUGAGUAAUGUAUCGGAACGUACCUUUCAGUGGGGGAUAACGUAGCGAAAGUUACGCUAAUACCGCAUAUUCUGUGCGCAGGAAAGCAGGGGACCUUCGGGCCUUGCGCUGAUUGAGCGGCCGAUAUCAGAUUAGCUAGUUGGUGAGGUAAAGGCUCACCAAGGCGACGAUCUGUAGCGGGUCUGAGAGGAUGAUCCGCCACACUGGAACUGAGACACGGUCCAGACUCCUACGGAAGGCAGCAGUGGGGAAUUUUGGACAAUGGGGGCAACCCUGAUCCAGCCAUGCCGCGUGAGUGAAGAAGGCCUUCGGGUUGUAAAGCUCUUUCGGCCGGGAAGAAAUCGUAUCAGCUAAUACCUGGUGCGGAUGACGGUACCGGCAUAAGAAGCACCGGCUAACUACGUGCCAGCCGCCGCAGUAAUAC